UGUUUACGUAACAAUGUGCUCCUAAUAA
rnacentral:sRNA from 1 species